rfam:Helobdella robusta unplaced genomic scaffold HELROscaffold_58, whole genome shotgun sequence.
AUACUUACUUGGCACAGGAGUUUCCGUGAUCACGAAGGCGGACCUCCCAAACCGAGACUCAACCAUUGCACUGAGGUUGAGUUGAAGCUUGCGAUUACUCCAAAAGUGGGUAAAUCGGGUGCACAAUUUUUGUUAGUAGGGACUGCGUGCGCGCUUUCCCUC